rnacentral:Y_RNA from 1 species
GGCUGGUCCGAAGGGUAGUGAGUUAUCGUCACGUGAUUGUUCACAGUCGUUACAGAUUGAACUCCUUGCUUCUACUAACUUUCCCCCCUCCUCACUACUGCACUUGACUGUCUAAA